CAUAGUACACUGAAUGAAAUUAUGUGUAAUAAUAUACUAACAAAACAUAUAAGACAAAGAAAAGUUAGGAAGACCGUAUAAGGCAACAUUUCAAAAUUAUCUCAAUUAUCAGCAAUAAAUCCAUUUCAAUGCGCACAAGGGUCAUAAAGGAUCUGUGGUGGAAUCAAAUAGCUAAUUGAGCAUUUCUCAGUUUAUUAAAUUUCAUUUUUUGUUAAAACAGACCAAAAAGUGGAAAUCCCCAGCAAACAAAAUUAUCUAACAAGUAAAACAAAGGACUAUUUUGUCUUUGGUAUUUUCAAGUUCCUAAUGUUUUCAAGUAUUGAAUAGUUGUUUAAUUAUGGUUAACACUUUUUAAAACAUUUCGUUCAAAGGAUCAGCAACGGAGCAAGUGAAAACUUAGAGACAAUUGCGCAAAGUGCUGAAGUGACGUGAAAGCUAUCAAUGCUAGAUAACAAAUGCACUUAGAGCUUUAAUUACCGGGUAAUGUAAUUACUAAUGUUCUCCCAAAGCUCCAAAUCGCUCCGAAGACUCUAAUAGACUCUUCAGAAGCUCCACACAUCAAGUCUCGUCAGCGCAGCGCUUCGCAAUUACAUAUGUUAAACGCCUUUAGCCCAAAACACAAUUUUAUAAAUUCGUACAGUCAGAUUGUCGUGAGAUAUCCUAUUCCUGGGCUUCUAUUCGUGUAUACCGACUAUGAUUGAUGAUUGAUUAUGAUGAUAUGAUGACAUGCAUGUGAGAAGUGUAUCCAGCUAAUAAUGGUUAUGUCACGAAAAAAUCGUUUUCCACUUACUAGUAUAUAGCAGAAAAAAAUUGCUGUCAAUCCGCGGUAAAUAUGAUUUGUGGCAUGCUUUGUUCGGUCAUAGUACUAGCUGUCGUAAUCGCUGUGAUC